UCAACGGCUCUUUUAAGAGCCACCCACUCAUUCUGAAGAAAGAGC
rfam:Danio rerio chromosome 7, GRCz11 reference primary assembly.